UACGUAGGGUGCAAGCGUUAAUCGGAAUUACUGGGCGUAAAGCGUGCGCAGGCGGUUUUGUAAGUCUGUCGUGAAAGCCCCGGGCUCAACCUGGGAAUUGCGAUGGAGACUGCAAGGCUUGAAUCUGGCAGAGGGGGGUAGAAUUCCACGUGUAGCAGUGAAAUGCGUAGAGAUGUGGAGGAACACCGAUGGCGAAGGCAGCCCCCUGGGUCAAGAUUGACGCUCAUGCACGAAAGCGUGGGGAGCAAACAGGAUUAGAACUACCGGUAGU
rnacentral:rRNA from 1 species